rnacentral:rRNA from 1 species
CGAGUGAAGCGGCAACAGCUCAAAUUUGAAAUCUGGCCUCACGGUCCGAGUUGUAAUUUGUAGAGGAUGUUUCGAGCAUGGUCUGGCCUAAGUUCCUUGGAACAGGACGUCAUAGAGGGUGAGAAUCCCGUAUGCGGUCAGGUGCCUACGCUCAUGUGAAGCUCCUUCGACGAGUCGAGUUGUUUGGGAAUGCAGCUCAAAAUGGGUGGUAAAUUUCAUCUAAAGCUAAAUAUUGGCCAGAGACCGAUAGCGCACAAGUAGAGUGAUCGAAAGAUGAAAAGCACUUUGGAAAGAGAGUUAAACAGUACGUGAAAUUGUUGAAAGGGAAGCGCUUGCAACCAGACUUGCACGCGGCUGAUCAUCCGGUGUUCUCACCGGUGCACUCGGUCGCGUUCAGGCCAGCAUCGGUUUUGGUGGUUGGAUAAAGGCCCUAGGAAUGUGGCUCCUCUCGGGGAGUGUUAUAGCCUAGGGUGCAAUGCAGCCUACCGGGACCGAGGACCGCGCUUCGGCUAGGAUGCUGGCGUAAUGGUUGUAAGCGACCCGUCUUGAAACACGGACCAAGGAGUCUAACAUCUAUGCGAGUGUUUGGGUGUCAAACCCAUACGCGUAAUGAAAGUGAACGGAGGUGAGAACCCUUAAGGGUGCAUCAUCGACCGAUCCUGAUGUCUUCGGAUGGAUUUGAGUAAGAGCAUAGCUGUUGGGACCCGAAAGAUGGUGAACUAUGCCUGAAUAGGGUGAAGCCAGAGGAAACUCUGGUGGAGGCUCGCAGCGGUUCUGACGUGCAAAUCGAUCGUCAAAUUUGGGCAUAGGGGCG